rnacentral:rRNA from 1 species
UGUGUUAGUGGAAGCGUCUGGAAAGGCGCGCGAUACAGGGUGACAGCCCCGUACACAAAAGCGCAUGUGCUGUGAGCUCGAUGAGUAGGGCGGGACACGUGGUAUCCUGUCUGAAUAUGGGGGGACCAUCCUCCAAGGCUAAAUACUCCUGACUGACCGAUAGUGAACCAGUACCGUGAGGGAAAGGCGAAAAGAACCCCGGCGAGGGGAGUGAAAAAGAACCUGAAACCGUGUACGUACAAGCAGUGGGAGCCCCACCACCAAAGCAUUCUCUGGUGUUGAAGGCCCUGCAAAGCAGCAUCGCGGUGGCGGAGCGUCGUUUGCGACGCCCAACACACAAAACAAGCGGUGAGUGCUUUGGGGUGGGGUGACUGCGUACCUUUUGUAUAAUGGGUCAGCGACUUAUAUUCUGUAGCAAGGUUAACCGAAUAGGGGAGCCGGAGGGAAACCGAGUCUUAAUUGGGCGUUAAGUUGCAGGGUAUAGACCCGAAACCCGGUGAUCUAGCCAUGGGCAGGUUGAAGGUUGGGUAACACUAACUGGAGGACCGAACCGACUAAUGUUGAAAAAUUAGCGGAUGACCUGUGGCUGGGGGUGAAAGGCCAAUCAAACCGGGAGAUAGCUGGUUCUCCCCGAAAGCUAUUUAGGUAGCGCCUCGUGAAUUCAUCUCCGGGGGUAGAGCACUGUUUCGGCUAGGGGGCCAUCCCGGCUUACCAACCCGAUGCAAACUGCGAAUACCGGAGAAUGUUAUCACGGGAGACACACGGCGGGUGCUAACGUCCGUCGUGAAGAGGGAAACAACCCAGACCGCCAGCUAAGGUCCCAAAGUCAUGGUUAAGUGGGAAACGAUGUGGGAAGGCCCAGACAGCCAGGAUGUUGGCUUAGAAGCAGCCAUCAUUUAAAGAAAGCGUAAUAGCUCACUGGUCGAGUCGGCCUGCGCGGAAGAUGUAACGGGGCUAAACCAU